GUUUUUUUUCCCUCCUUCUGCUACUUGGAUUUUUUUAGCUGCUGCGUCAUGAGCAUAAUUUAUGCAAAGAGCUUUGCCGCAUGCUGCACCGCGCGCGCCAGCCGCCGGGGGCGGCGGGCUGGGCGGGCCGGCAGGGAAGGGAGGGGAUCUAGGGAACCGAGAACUAGCGAUGGUGGGGGCACCCCAGCCCCUUGCCACCCCCGCUCUCAGAGGCCCCACAGACUAGUUCCCCGGACUGGAGUGGAAAGUCGAUGGGGUGGGUCACGCAGCCCCGCUCCGAGAAGCAUCCUGAGGUCGUUUCAUUUUGGAAGUGGUCAUGUAUGGAUGUGAGAGUUGGACUAUAAAGAAAGCUGAGCACCGAAGAGUUGAUACUUUUGAACUGUAGUGUUGGAGAAGACUCUUGAGAGUCCCUUGGACUGCAAGGAGAUCCAACCAGUCCAUCCUAGAGGAGAUCAGUCCUGGGUGUUCAUUGGAAGGACUGAUGUUGAAGCUGAAAUUCCAAUACUUUGGCCACCUGAUGUGAAGAGUUGACUCAUUCGAAAAGACCCUGAUGCUGGGAAAGACUGAAGGCAGGAGGAGAAGGGGACGACAGAGGAUGAGAUGGUUG
ensembl:lncRNA